AUUGAACGCUGGCGGCAUGCCUUACACAUGCAAGUCGAACGGCAGCACGGGAGCAAUCCUGGUGGCGAGUGGCGAACGGGUGAGUAAUAUAUCGGAACGUGCCCAGUCGUGGGGAUAACGUAGCGAAAGCUACGCUAAUACCGCAUACUAUCUAUGGAUGAAAGCGGGGGAUCGCAAGACCUCGCGCGAUUGGAGCGGCCGAUAUCAGAUUAGGUAGUUGGUGAGGUAAAGGCUCACCAAGCCGACGAUCUGUAGCUGGUCUGAGAGGACGACCAGCCACACUGGGACUGAGACACGGCCCAGACUCCUACGGGAGGCAGCAGUGGGGAAUUUUGGACAAUGGGCGCAAGCCUGAUCCAGCAAUGCCGCGUGCAGGAUGAAGGCCUUCGGGUUGUAACUGCUUUGUACGGAACGAACGGUAGAGCU
rnacentral:rRNA from 1 species